rnacentral:rRNA from 1 species
AGACAGGUGCUGCAUGGCUGUCGUCAGCUCGUGUUGUGAAAUGUUGGGUUAAGUCCCGCAACGAGCGCAACCCUUAUCCUUUGUUGCCAGCGGUUCGGCCGGGAACUCAAAGGAGACUGCCAGUGAUAAACUGGAGGAAGGUGGGGAUGACGUCAAGUCAUCAUGGCCCUUACGACCAGGGCUACACACGUGCUACAAUGGCGCAUACAAAGAGAAGCGACCUCGCGAGAGCAAGCGGACCUCAUAAAGUGCGUCGUAGUCCGGAUUGGAGUCUGCAACUCGACUCCAUGAAGUCGGAAUCGCUAGUAAUCGUGGAUCAGAAUGCCACGGUGAAUACGUUCCCGGGCCUUGUACACACCGCCCGUCACACCAUGGGAGUGGGUUGCAAAAGAAGUAGGUAGCUUAACCUUCGGGAGGGCGCUUACCACUUUGUGAUUCAUGACUGGGGUGAAGUCGUAACAAGGUAACCGUAGGGGAACCUGC